AGACUUAUUGAUACACAUGUGUGAAUGGUUUAAAAGCUAAAACGUUUUCCCAUCUUAUUUUAUUAUUUCCUGACUCAGCUUACUAGCAAACCUGUCGUCAUCAUUGUUUGGUUAUUGUCAACGAUGCUAAUGCUAACGCUAAUGCUAACGCUGAUGCUAACGCUAGCUAACUUAACGUUACAGUAUGUAAAUCUGUCUUGUAUCUCUUCUAACUUUGUAACAUUAGACCUGAGUAAGUUUUGCAUGUCACAUUCAUUCAUGCAUUCAUAAUUAGGCUAAAUGUAUUGUGCAAGAUAUAGUGACAUGCAUCAUGACAUGCGACUAUUACAGUAUGAAAAGAAAUCAGAACAUUCAGGGAUUCUUCAAAAGAAAGAAAUCCAAAACAACAGAGCAGGACAGAGCAGCAGAAGCCAGCAGUGCUAGUCAGUCUGAGGAUGAGAGCCAGCUUGACUCUGCUAGGGAUGUACAGCAGGAGCCUCCAGCUUCAGCUGUACACAUGGACUCAGACAAGGAUACUGGUGAUGAAGGCCCUUCAUCUUCACUUGCACAUCAGGGUGUGUCAAGUCAGCCACUCUCUGACAAUGACACUGACACUGAGAACCAUCCAGCAGUACCUGCAGGCCAUGCAGUGACACGUGGGGAUGGUGAUGCAGCAGCCCUUGUGGCCCCACCUGGACCUCAUGAUAUUUCACAGUCAAGAGCAGCAGGUCCCUCUCAGCCUCGUUUAAAGGUUUUUCCAAGAACCCUCCAAGGUGAGAAGAGG